GGCGCAGAGGGAGAUGAGUAAUAAGGCAUGUGUAGGUUUUGCAUAAUAGCAAGGAUAUAUGCAAACAGGCCUCAUCUACAGUAAAUUCAGAAAGUAUUCAGACUCCUUCAAUUUCAUUCACAUUUUUUUAACCUUAUGUUGCAAUUCUUUAUUCCCCCCCCCCCACACGCCUCAUAGUUUACACUGUAUAUCCACUAGUAACAAAUCUAAAUUUUAUUGACACCAGUGAAAAUACACUGACCAACCACAAGAUGAACACCACCUGCCUAAUGUUGUGUAGGCCAACCUCAUGCUGGCAAAACAGCCCUGAUGUGUCAAAGCAUGCACUCCACAAAACACCACCAAGACUUUAGCAGCAGAUUUUUUAAGUCUUGCAAGUUGCAAGGUGGAACCUCCAUUGAUUUGUUGUUCCAGCACAUUCCACAGAUGCUCAUUGAGAUAUUGGGAAUUUGGAGGCCAAGACAACAUCUUACCCUCUUUGUCAUGUUUCUCAAACCAUUCCUGAACAUUUUUUGAACUGUUGCAGGGUGCCAUGAAGGGAUGUAUGUGGUUUGCAAUAAUCUCUAGGUAGGUGGUACGUGUCAAAUUAACAUCCACAAGAAUUGCAGGACUCAAGUGACCUUAGCGCCCUGGAGUCUGUCAAACAAUUGAGAUAAGGGGAAUGGGAUAAGCACUUUUGAUGGUGAUUUUGUUCAAUGCCCCAUAAUCAAUACAUGGCCAUAACUCCAUCUUUCUUAGAUACAAAAAAGAACCCCGCACCUGCAGGUGAAGAAGAUUUACGUAUGUGAUCUUUUAUUAUAAUGUAAUCCUCCAUAAUCCUAUUUUCCUGUGGUGAUAAGGCAUAAACUGCCCCCUUAGGUGGCAUAGUGCCAGGUAACAAAUCUAUGAAGCAGUCAUAAGAUCUGUGAGGAGGUAGCGUAUCGGUGUGACUUUUACUAAACACUUCCAGUACUGCACAGAAAUUUCGGUAAGGCUGAGGCGUAGGAGUAGGUAGAGCACCAAUGCCCACUCUUUUAGCAAUGGGCAACAUACAUCUCUCACUACAUUCUUUACUCCAUUCCAGUAUUUCCCCCUUAGCCCAGUCAAUAUGAGAAAUAUGCUUAACAAACCAUGGGAAUCCUAGCAUAAUGGGACAAGAAGGGGAAGCAAUCAGAAAUGUAACAAUUACUUUAUGUAAUGCUCCUAUAGUAACAGUAAUAGGCAUAGUUUCGUGGGUAAUUAGAGGUUAAGAGAGAGGUAUCCCAUCAAUGAUCUCUCCUUGAUCGGUAGGAGGUGUUUACUGACAAAUUGUAUGUUGAUAAAAGUUUCCUGCAGCACCGGAGUCCAUCAGGGCUUUACAUGAAAAACUUUUCUUGUUGCAUAUAGCAGUAAUAUUAAGGAGAAAUCUACCUUGGGUAGUACCAGGGGACAUAUCUAUCACACCUAAGACCGGUCCCCUUAAGGUUCUUAAGGGGUUCGCAAGUUGUCCAGACGUAUGGGACAAGCAUUUCUCAUUUGUCCUUUCUUGCCACAGUAUAAGCAAAGGCCCUCGUUUCUCCUAAACGGUCUUUCUGCCUCUGACAGUCUCAUAACGCCUAACUGCAUAGGUUCAGUUUCAGACUGCACAGGAGGGCCAGAAACAACAGGACUAGAGAAGCGAGGUACCAAUGACAUAUUCAUAUGUCUGGUUCUAUUUCUAGUUAUCUCCCUUUUCCGAAGUCAAUUAUAUAUAUGCAUCAUGUAACGGAUUUAUUCAUUUAAUCUACCUGGUAGUUCUUUGGCUGUAAUCUCAUUAAGGAUAGUCUUGGAUAAUCCCUCUGAGAAUGCGGUGAUUAAUCCGUUAUUGAUCCAGUCUACCUCAGAAGCCAGGGUGCAGAAUUCUAUGGCAUACUCUGAGACAGGCAGGUUCCCUUGCUUGAUAUGCAUUAGGGCAGUGGAGGCGUUGCUCUCCCUUCCCAAUGGUUCAAACGUUAAUUCAAAUUUCACAAGGAAUUCCUGGUAAUUAUGGACAACAGUCUUAUUACUCUCCCAUAAUGGAUUGGCCCAUGCUAAGGCUUUACCUUGCAAUUGGUUCACUAAGUACCCAAUUUUAGCUCUAUCCGUGGGGAA